rnacentral:sRNA from 1 species
AAGACCACAGCCCGCCCUGCGAGGUAA